GACGAACGCUGGCGGCGUGCUUAACACAUGCAAGUCGAACGGAAAGGCCCUGCUUUUGUGGGGUGCUCGAGUGGCGAACGGGUGAGUAACACGUGAGUAACCUGCCCUUGACUUUGGGAUAACUUCAGGAAACUGGGGCUAAUACCGGAUAGGAGCUCCUGCUGCAUGGUGGGGGUUGGAAAGUUUCGGCGGUUGGGGAUGGACUCGCGGCUUAUCAGCUUGUUGGUGGGGUAGUGGCUUACCAAGGCUUUGACGGGUAGCCGGCCUGAGAGGGUGACCGGCCACAUGGGGACUGAGAUACGGCGCAGACUGGUACGGGAGGCAGCAGUGGGGAAUAUUGCAAAAUGGGCGGAAGCCUGAUGCAGAAACGCCGCGUGCGGGAUGACGGCCUUCGGGUUGUAAACCGCUUUCGGCUGUGACGAAGCGUGAGUGACGGUAAUGGGUAAAGAAGCACCGGCUAACUACGUG
rnacentral:rRNA from 1 species